rnacentral:rRNA from 1 species
UACGUAGGUGGCAAGCGUUGUCCGGAUUUACUGGGCGUAAAGAGCGCGCAGGCGGUCGUCCAAGUCGCGUGUGAAAGCCCCCGGCUCAACUGGGGAGGGUCACGCGAUACUGGUCGACUCGAAGGCAGGAGAGGGUAGUGGAAUUCCCGGUGUAGUGGUGAAAUGCGCAGAUAUCGGGAGGAACACCUAUGGCGAAGGCAGCUCGCUGGGACGUUACUGACGCUGAGACGCGAAAGCGUGGGGAGCAAACAGG